rnacentral:rRNA from 1 species
ACCGGCAGCUCAAGUGGUGGCCAUUUUUAUUGGGCCUAAAGCGUUCGUAGCCGGUUUGAUAAGUCUCUGGUGAAAUCCCGCAGCUUAACUGUGGGACUUGCUGGAGAUACUAUUAGACUUGAGGUCGGGAGAGGUUAGGGGUACUCCCAGGGGAGGGGUGAAAUCCAAUAACCCGGGGAGGAACACCUGUGGCGAAGGCGCCUAACUGGAACGAACCUCACGGUUAGUAACGAAAGCGAGGGGCGCGAACCG